rnacentral:lncRNA from 1 species
GACAGCAUGGAUAAGACAACGACACUGCUUUUGUUCUUCUUCUUGUUCACAUUCCUCACGACUUCUUUCUCUAAAAACCUAUGUAACCAAGAUGACAAAACCACCCUCCUCAAGAUCAAGAAAGCCCUAAACAACCCUUACCACCUCGCCUCGUGGGACCCUCGAACAGACUGUUGCUCCUGGUACUGCCUCGAGUGCGGCGACGCCACCGUUAACCACCGCGUCACCGCCCUAACCAUAUUUUCCGGUCAGAUCUCCGGUCAGAUCCCGCCAGAGGUUGGUGACUUGUCGUAUCUACAGACCCUUGUCUUCCGCAAACUCACUAACCUCACCGGUCAGAUCCCACGCACCAUCGCCAAGCUCAAGUAUCUCCGGAGCCUCAGGCUCAGCUGGACGAAUCUGACCGGUCCAGUUCCUGGUUUUCUCAGUGAGCUCAAGAAUCUCCAGUGGGUAGACCUUUCCUUCAAUGAUCUCUCUGGUUCAAUACCGAGUUCUCUGUCUUUGUUACCUAAUCUUGUGUCCCUUGAUCUCAGCAGGAACAAGCUUACAGGUAAAUAAACUCUGUUUUUUACUUUUUUGCCUUUCUUUCUAAAUCUGAUCAAGAAACUUUUCAUGCAAGCAGGUUCUAUACCAGAGUCAUUUGGGUCGUUUCCAGCAAAAGUACCUGAUCUUUACCUAUCACACAACCAGCUCUCCGGUUAUAUACCAAAAACACUAGGCAAUCUUGAUUUUAGCAAGAUAGAUUUCUCUCGGAACAAGCUCGGAGGCGAAGCUUCGAUGUUGUUUGGAGCCAACAAAACGACGUGGUACAUUGAUUUAUCAAGAAACAUGUUACAGUUCGAUCUCUCUAGAGUUGUGAUCCCUAAGACACUUGGUAUCUUGGACUUGAACCACAACGGAAUCACAGGGAAUAUCCCGGUUCAAUGGACCGAAGCUCCUCUUCAGUUCUUCAAUGUUAGCUAUAACAGAUUGUGUGGACACAUCCCCACAGGAGGGACACUUCAGGAAUUCGAUACUUAUUCCUAUUUUCACAACAAGUGUUUGUGUGGUGCACCUCUUGAUAGUUGCAAGUAAAAGAUUCAAGCAGCCAAGCUAUUAUUAUUAUACUUCUACAAAUAAUCCAAUAAGUCUAUAGACAACUGUAUCUUUAUUUGGAUUGAUUAAUAAAAAUAAUCAACCAAACUUGCUUUGAUAAAUUUGUUGUAUAAUCUUCAAAACUUUUUGUUAAUCAACCAAACUUGUUUCUAGUAUAUAUAUAUAUAUUUUUGGUGCAUCUAAAUUUUCGAAUCCAACCUCCAGUUUUUAAAUAAAUAAAAUAAGAUAUACUAUUCGUGGUUAUUGUUUCAAAUUUUAUCAAAAGUAAAUCUGAUAUGCUGAAGCUUAAAAGUCUUUCAUGCAUGUGGUAUUGUAAACCAUAAUUUAUACAACUAUAUAAGUAUACGAAUAAUUUAUUAGAAAAUAAAAUAAAAUAAGGGUUUAUUUGUGAAAUAGUUAAGUAAAUAUUUUAGUAAAACGUUAAAAAUAUAAAUUAUAUAAUUAAAUAUUAAUCAAAUAUUUUUUUAAAUUAUAUAAUUAAAAAUAUAAUAUUGAGUUAUUUUAAGAGUUAUUUUAAGAUUUAUUUUAGUAAUGAAUCUAUAUAUAUAAAAAUAUGUUUGCCUUUCUCCUAAGCUAUCCACGUGGAAAGUCAUUCUCUGACAGACCGACACGUGUCUCUGAGUUUUAUUUCUUUGGCUAGAUUUGAGUUUAACUUUGGGCUUAUACUAUGAACAAUUGAGAGGACUUUUUACUCUUUAUUAUUAUUGAAUGUGUUAAUUAUUUCUUAAUACAUAGUAGAUAAAACAAAAAAACACACAUUACAAUAUGGACAUGAUAUUAUCAUCAAAGCAAUAUUUACCAUAUGUACCUCAUCCUGUGAUAAUUUAUAAAGUAGCAACGAAUCUAUGAGUUCAUCAAAUUUGUAAUUACCUACUUUAGAAUUUUAAGUAUAUAAACAGUCAACAUUAGUGUGUUGAAUAUUAUAUUCAUAUGAUUUAAAAGCUUUUAUAAAUUUUUAUUUUUAAACAUACACCAAAAACUUUAUGAAAGUAAAUAUCCAUUCAGGUUCUCAACCACUUCAAAUACCACCAACACCAAAAAAAUUUAAUCAAGUGUAGGAAAACUAUAAUAUAUUUAAAACUACAAUAAAUACAUUAGUUAAUGAAAAAUCCUUUUUAAAAAAAUAUUGUGGAUGCAUACAUAAAUAUUAAGAGAAAUGUAUAAAAGGAAAUAAAAGUAACAAUAACUUGAAGAACAAAAUAUAUAAGACUCAAAAUAUUUAUGAUUUGUGGUAUAAGAUAUAUUCAACUUAUUGUCACAAAAAACCUAAAAAAAAAUACAUAUUUUAAGAACACUAAAAAUUACUUUAAAUUUUUUAACACUUUAAGAAAAAAUAUAAAUCAAUAAUAUUAAUAUAAAAUUUUAUUCCAAAAACUCAGCACUAAAUGCAUAAACAAAAAACAAACAAACCCUAAAUCCUAUAAUCCUAAGCAUUAUUCUAAACCAAACCUUAAACCCAACCUAAACCAAACGCUAAACCUUUUCUACUCCCUAAAAUCCUAAAUCCUACCUAACCCUAAGCCCUACAUAAACCUAGACCUUAACCCUAUCUAACCCUAAACCCUACAUAAACCUAAUCCUAAACCCUUCAUACUACCUAAACCCUAAAUCUAUCUAAUUGUAAACCUACCUAACCCUAAACGUAAAUCCUACCUAACCCUAAACCCUAUUUAACCCUAAACCUUUCCUAACCCUAAAACCCUACCUAAAACCUAACCCUAAACCCUAUCUAACCCUAAACCCCACCUACCAUAAACCCUACCUAAACCCUACUAACCCUAAACCCCACCUACCCAAAACCCUACCUAACCCUAAACCCUACUAACCCUAAACCCUACCUAACCCUAAACCCUACUAACCCUACCUAACCUAAACCCUACUUAACCUAAACCUUUUCUAACCCUAAACCCUACUAACCCUAAACCCUACUAACCUUAAACCCUACUAACCCUAAACCCUUUCAAACCCUAAACCUUACCUAACCCUAAACCCUACCGAACCCUAAACCCUACCUAAUUCUAAACCCUACCUAACCCUAAACCCAACCUAACCCUAAACUCUACCUACUCUAAACCCUUUCUAACCCUAAACCCUACCUAACUUUAAACCUCUUCUAACCCUAAACCUGACCUACCCCUAAACCUUGCCUAACCUUAAAUCCUACCUAACCCUAAACCCUUUCUAGCCUUAAAUCCUAUUAACCCUACUAACUCUAAACCCUUUCUAACCCUAAACUAUGCUAACCCUAAACCCUUUCUAACCCUAAACCCUAUCUAACCCUAAACCCUACCAAACCCUAAACCCUAACUAACCCUAAACCCUACCUAACCAUAAACCCUUUCUAACCCUAAACCCCUUCUAACCCUAAACCUGACCUAACCCUAAACCCUGCCUAACCUAAAUCCUACCUAACCCUAAACCCUUUCUAGCCUUAAAUCCUACUAACCCUAAACCUUACUAACUCUAAACCCUUUUUAACCCUAACCAUGCUAACCCUAAACCCUACCUAAUUCUAAACCCUACCUAACCCUAACCCUACAUAACCCUAAACCCUACUAACCCUAAACCCUACCUUACCCUAAAACCUUUCUAACCCUAAACCCUUUCUAGCCCUAAACCCUACUAAACCUAAACCCUACUAACCCUAAACCCUACCAACCCUAAACCCUAUCUAACCCUAAACCCUACCUAACCCUAAACCCUACUAACCCUAAACCCUAUCUAACCCUAAAUCCUACCUACCCUAAACCCUUUUUAAACCUAAACCCUGCUAACCCUAAACCCUGCCUAAACCUAACCCUAAAACCCUACCUAAACCUAACCAUAAAUUCCGCUAAAACUCUACCAACCCUAAACACUAAAAAAUAAUCUCAAAACUUAAAGCUAAAAAAACCUAAACUCUACCGCUAUGUAAUUUGUUGUUGUGAUAUUCAAAUAACAAAUUACAUAGCGGAUUUUAAAUCUUACAUCUGUUAUUUUAAUUGCCAAAAUAUUUUGAAAGUUGUAAUUUAUGAAUAAAAAAGGUAAAUUAUAUUUUAAUAACGUUAAAUUUUGUUAAAAUAGAAUGAAAAACUAUUAUCAUAAAUAAAUAAAGAAUUUUGAUGAAAUUUGAAAAUCUUCGAAUCGAUAACAAUUAAUUAGUAAUAUUUCAAAAACCCUUAAACUAUUAUAGCAGUAGAAUCUCAAAAAAAAAAUUAAAGUUCUCAAACAUUUAUUUGCCAAUAACCAUCCUUAAAUCUUUGCUGAUUCACAAAAAAUAAUAUUAUUUACGUAAAUUGGAAACAAGUUUUGUUUUUUGACUAGAGACCCAAGUUUAAAUUAUACCACUAAAAUAUUUUAAUAUUUAAUUAUUCAGAAAUAACAAGUUAAUGUUCUUAAAACAAUAACCAUCCUUAAAUCUUUGCUCAUUCAAAAAAAUAAUAUUUUUUACAUAAAUUGGAAACAAGUUUUGUUUUUUGACUAGAGACUCAAGUUUAAAUUAUACCACUAAAAUAUUUUAAUAUUUAAUUGUUCAGAAAUAUAUAUAUUUAUAUAUUCGAGAGUAUACAAUGCAUAGAUGAUACUAAACUGAUCGCAAGAAUUCUUUUUGGAAAACACAAUAUAACUAGUAUAGUAUUCAAAGAACUUUUCAAAAAUUUAGGAAAAUUUUUAAGCUCGCAUCGCAGGUAAAGCACCUAGUAGUUAAGUAAAAAAAGGAAAUUAGUUUUGUAGAGAAAAAGUAGAGCGAGAUAGGAAGAAAAAAGAAGAUAGAUGGUGAAAUUUUAGUUAAAUAGUGAAUUAUGGUUUUUUUUGGUAUUAUCUCACCCAAUUUUCCAUAAAAUAAAUAGACGGAAAAACCCUUUUUCAAAAAAAGAAGCCGUGAUGGAGAGUAGUAGUACUCAAGUGGCACAUGUGGACAGCCACUAGUUUUGCACUAGCCAACCAAAUUCAACACCGACAUCUUGAGCAUACGUAUUGACUAUAAUUAAGGUUCCUAUCAAAUCAAAUCUCUAAUCUCUAGUGUGUUAUGUAUAUAUAUCACUGUCACACUUUCAAGAACAAAAACUCAAAAUCAAAACCAUACAACAUGGAUAAUAAAACACAUACGACACUGCUUUUCUCGCUCCUGUUUUUCAUCACACACCUCACGAACGCGUCAUCAAAAGAUCAAUGUAACCAAAACGACAAAAAGACCCUCCUCAAGAUCAAGAAGUCCCUAAAUAACCCUUACCACCUCGCCUCUUGGGACCCUAAAAGCGACUGCUGCGCCUGGAACAGCCUCGAGUGCGACGACGCCACCGUUAACCGCCGCGUCAUCUCCCUAACCAUAUUCUCCGCUCAGAUCUCCGGUCAGAUCCCUCCUGAAGUCGGUGACUUACCGUAUCUUCAGAAGCUUGUCUUCCGCAAAAUCACUAACCUCACCGGUCAGAUACCACACACCAUCACCAAGCUCAAGUAUCUCCGUUUUCUCAGGCUUAGCUGGACGAACCUUACCGGCCCGGUUCCUGAGUUUUUGAGUCAGCUCAUGGAUCUUGCCUACUUAAACCUUUCCUUCAAUUAUUUUUCUGGUUCCAUACCUAGCUCUCUCUCCUUGUUACCUAAACUUUCGUACGUUGAUCUUAGUCGGAAUAAGCUUACAGGUGAAUAAAUAUUUUAUCUCUAUUAAAAACUGAUUAUUAAAAAAAUUGAUUAUUAUUAAACUGCUAUUUAUCUAACCACAACCUUUUAAUUUUCACUUAGGUACAAUACCAGAGUCAUUUGGAUCGUUUUCAGGAGAAGUCCCUGACCUUUUCCUAUCACAUAACCAGCUCUCCGGUUCUAUACCUAAAUCACUAGGCAACCUGGAUUUUAACCGGAUCGAUUUCUCAAGGAACAGGUUCAUAGGCGAUGCUUCGAUGUUGUUUGGAGCCAAUAAAACGACAUUUUCUAUUGAUUUAUCAAGAAACAUGUUCCAGUUCGAUCUCUCCCGUGUUGAGAUCCCUAAGACAUUUGGUAUCUUAGACUUGAAUCACAAUGGGAUCACAGGGAGUAUCCCGGUUCAGUGGACUGAAACUCCUUUCCAAAUCUUCAAUGUUAGCUACAACAGAUUGUGUGGACGCAUCCCCACUGGAGGGAAACUGCAGAUGUUUGAUUCUUAUGCAUAUUUUCACAAUAAGUGUUUAUGUGGUGCACCACUUGAUAGUUGCAAGUAAAGAUUCAAGCAGCCAAGCGUAUUACUAUUCUACUUUACCAAAUAAUCCGAUAAGUCUAUAGACAACUGUAUGUUUUAUAUGGAUUGACUGAUUAAAAAAUCAACCAAACUUGCUUCAAUAUAUUUGUAAUACAAUCUUCCAGUUUGAAUCACAAUCAGCAUGUUAGACACAUUUAAAUGAAGAUCAAUCGCAAAGGUUCUUGUUAAUUAGAGGUUGUUGUAAAUAUCCAUUAUCCACUUUUACGGCCAAACUUGUUGGUACGUAUUCCGUUUCCGUUCGACAAAGGCAUAAAACAUCAAAUCAUAACCAUGUAGUAUGCAUGAUUUGACCAAGUGUAUAUAUCUGAAUCCGAAUGCUGACGUGUCAAUAAUAUUAUAUUACUAUAAACCACUAGACUAAGCUUGAUUAAAAGUUCUAGAUGUGGUUGUGUCGACCCCUAGACUAUACCCGUUAAUUGGUAAUUAUCUUAUUAUUAUUUAGUACUAAAAAGACAGUAGUAUAUUUUAGUAUAUAUUUUUUUAAUGAAUGUAAAACAAUAUUCAAACAAAAAUACUGGGUAACGUGCUUCUGUUUCCGAAAGGUGUUUUUAACUUCUAAAUAGAGAAAGAAUGAAGAAGAAAAGAAUGUAAAGAAUUAAUGAUUUAGGUGCCUAUUCUUGAGCCAAACCAUAUUGCUAUCCCAUCUGCAUAUGUUCUGUUUCCUUCUGUUUCUGAUAGUCCUAUAGAUGCUUUUCUAGUUUGAUAGGUGGAGAAGGAGCUCCAUGCUUCUGACUGUUUCUCUCACGCCAAAUGUUAUAUUCAUGUCAGAUGCUUUUCUAGUCAUAUUUUAGUGUCAUGAAAUAGUUUAGAUGCUAUUUUCUUUUUGGUGCAUCUCAUUUUUCAAAUCCUGUUUUGAAUUAUAUAAUUUUUUUUCUGAAAAAAUCAAAAUAGAAGCCUUGGUUGAGAAAGUAGUAGUACUCAAGUGGCACAUGCUGACUCCCAGCAUUUUGACACCAGCCAACCAUAUUCUCCACCGACAUCUUAUCACACGUAUUGACUAUUAAGGUUUUUCUAUCAAAUCAAAUAUCUAAUCUCGAUAGUGUAUAUAUCAUCGUCACACUUUCAACAAAAAUAUUCAAAACCAAACACCAUACAACAUGGAUCAUAAGACAAAUACGACACUGCUUUUCUCGCUCUUGUUUUUCAUUACACACCUCAGCAACGCGUUAUCAAAAGAUCUAUGUAACGAAAACGACAAAAACACCCUCCUCAAGAUCAAGAAGUCCCUAAACAACCCUUACCACCUCGCCUCGUGGCACCCCGAAACCGACUGCUGCUCCUGGUACUGCCUCGAAUGCGGCGACGCUACCGUUAACCACCGCGUCAUCUCCCUAACCAUAUUCGCCGGUCAGAUAUCCGGUCAGCUCCCGCCUGAAGUCGGUGACUUACCGUAUCUUCAGAAGCUUGUCUUCCGCAAACUCACUAACCUCACCGGUCAGAUCCCACACAGCAUCACCAAGCUCAAGUAUCUCACGUUUCUAUGGCUUAGCUGGACGAACCUCACCGGCCCGGUUCCUGAUUUUCUUAGUCAGCUCGUGAAUCUUGACUACUUAAACCUUUCGUUCAAUGAGCUUUCUGGUUCAGUACCUAGCUCUCUCUCCCUGUUACCUAAACUUACGUACAUUGAUCUUAGUAGGAAUAAGCUUACAGGUGAAUAACUCUUUUAUGUAUAAAAAAACGAUUAUGAAAAACAAACUGUUUAUUAAAUUGUUAUUUUUCUAUUCACAAUGUUUUAACUUUCACUUAGGUACAAUACCAGAGUCAUUUGGAUCGUUUCCAGGAGAAGUUCCUUACCUUAUCUUAUCACACAACCAGCUCUCCGGUUCUAUACCCAAAUCACUAGGCAACCUUGAUUUUAACCGGAUAGAUUUCUCAAGGAACAAGCUCACAGGCGAUGCUUCGAUGUUGUUCGGAGCCAACAAAACGACGUUUUCCAUUGACUUAUCAAGAAACAUGUUCCAGUUUGAUCUGUCCAGAGUUGUGCUCCCUGAGUCACUUGGUGUACUGGAUUUGAACCACAAUGGGAUCACAGGGAGUAUUCCCGUUCAAUGGACUGAAUAUUCUCUCCAAAUCUUAAACGUCAGCUAUAACAGACUGUGUGGACCCAUCCCCACUGGAGGCAGUCUUCAGAGAUUUGAUUCUUAUAUAUAUUUUCACAACAAGUGUUUGUGUGGUGCACCUCUUGAUAGUUGCAAGUAAUAAACCAAGCUUAUCUCUAGUUUUCCCAAAAAAAAAAGUAAUAUCAUCCAGAGAUUUCAGACUGAUAAAAUAAAACAUGUAUCACAACUUGUAUUUUGAUGAGUUCUUAGAACAUUUUUAAAGUGAAAAUAAAGGUGGUAGGGUUACCACAAAUAGAGGAAGAAUAAGGACGAAUACUUAUCCUCUAUUUUCACUUAUAAGGCCAUGAUUAUCGCUAAACUGUUUUUUGGGUUUCUUAAUUUUUUUUUUGUUUUCUCUGAUUAAAAAAUAUAAAAAAGGAACCAAUCGUGGGUUGCCACGUGUCAGUGAGACCUACAAACAGUACAAGAAACAACAGAUAGUCAGUCGAUCCUUCUUUGGCGACUUUUGUGACCGAUUUUAGCUGUUUUGUGGGGUCCUCAGCAUGACUUUUUUUAAUAAAUCCACUUAAGGAUCUGCGAUAUUUAUGCUCUAAGAGCAUGAUUAAUGGAGGGUUCUUAAAGUGAAGUCUUCGGGGAAUAUAAAAAAUCGUAUCUUAACUUUUAACUAAAAAAAGCUAAAAACCUUAUUUAACAUCUAGUGCUUCUGUGUCCGAAAGGUGUUUUUAAUUUCUAAAUAGAGAAAGAAUAAAGAAGAAAAGAAUGUAAAGAAUGAUUUAGGUGCUUAUUCUUGAGCCAAACCAUAUUGCUAUCACAUCUGCAUAUGUUCUGUUUCUGAUAGUCCUAUAGAUGCUUUUCUAGUUUGAUAUGUGGAGAAGGAUCAGCUCCAUGCUUCCGACUGUUUCUCUCACGCCAGAUGUUAUUUCAUGUCAGAUGCUUUUCUAGUCAUGUUUUAGUUUCAUGAAAUACGUUUAGAUGCUAUUUUCUUUUUGGUGUAUCUUAUUUUUCAAAUCCUGUUUUAAAUUAUAUAAAUUUUCUCAUUUCGCAAAUAAAACUAUUUGUGGAUACUGUUUUAAAAUUGUACCAAAAGCAAAUUUCAUAUGUUGAAGCUUAAAAGUGCUUCGUGUAAGAUUAUAAACCCAAACAUUUAUAUACAUAUGAAUAUUUUUUUUAAAAAAUAUUAGAAAAAAAAAUAUCAAAAUAGAAGCCGUGGUCGAGAGAGUAGUAGUACUCAAGUGGCACAUGUUGACUGCCAGCAUGUUGGCACCAGCCAACCAUAUUCAACACCGACAUCUUAAUCACACGUAUUGACUGACUAUUAAGGUUUCUAUCAAAUCAAAUAUCUAAUCUCGAUAGUGUUUAUAUCAUCGUCACACUUUCAACAAAAAAAAUAUUCAAAACCACACACCAUACAACAUGGAUCAUAAGACAAACACGACACUGCUUUUCUCGCUCUUGUUUUUCAUCACGUACCUCAUCACCAUCGCGACAUCGAAAGAUCUAUGUAACCAAAACGACAAAAACACCCUCCUUAAAAUCAAGAAGUCCCUAAACAACCCUUACCACCUCGCCUCGUGGCACCCCGAAACCGACUGCUGCUCCUGGUACUGCCUCGAAUGCGGCGACGCCACAGUUAACCACCGCGUCAUCUCCCUAACCAUAUUCGCCGGUCAGAUAUCCGGUCAGAUCCCGCCUGAAGUCGGUGACUUACCGUAUCUUCAGAGUCUUAUGUUCCACAGGAUCACUAACAUCACCGGUCAGAUCCCAUCCACCAUCACCAAGCUUAAGUAUCUCCGUUCUCUCAGGCUUAGCUGGUUGAACCUCACCGGCCCGGUUCCUGAGUUUCUGAGUCAGCUCAUGAAUCUUGAAUACUUAAGCCUUUCCUUCAAUCAGCUCUCUGGUUCCAUACCUAGCUCUCUCGCUUUGUUACCUAAACUUUCUUACGUUGAUCUUAGUAGGAAUAAGCUUACAGGUACAAUAAGUACUCUCUUUGAUUCUAUUAUUUCUUUGGUGUAACUUUGAUUAUAUUUAUUCAUUGAUUAAAAUAUGAUUUGUUUUGAACUUUUUAAAAUAUGAUUAUUAACUGUACUUUUUUUUCUUCUAAUAUAACUUUCAUGCUUAGGUACAAUACCAGAGUCAUUUGGAUCGUUUCCAGCAGAACUUGCUUACCUUAUCUUAUCACACAACCAGCUCUCCGGUUCGAUACCCAAAUCACUAGGCAACCUUGAUUUUAACCGGAUAGAUUUCUCAAGGAACAAGUUCACAGGCGAUGCUUCGAUGUUGUUUGGUGCCAACAAAACGACGUUUUCCAUUGACUUAUCAAGAAACAUAUUCCAGUUUGAUC